rnacentral:lncRNA from 1 species
AGCUGCUCUGGGGGUGUUUUCUGGAGCAUCAUUGUGGCCCUGGGUGGGAUUCCUUUCUGUCCUGUUGAGACCUGUCUGGUUUUUGGAAACCUGGUAUUCCUGCUCUCUGUGGCUUAUCCAGAGACUACCAGCUCAAAAAAAAAUUGUCCCAGAACUCAUCCCAGUGUUUUGGAUUUUGCUGAGGAGAUGUUUAAGUGAAAACCUCUUAGUCCAUAAGCCAGACCCUUACCACAGAGGCAAAAUCUUUUUACUUUUCCCUCAAAGAUGCCAUGAGUGAAAUGAUGAAGGUACUGAUUUUUUUCAUGCUCUGGUUUCUCUCAGAGCAAAUUGGCUGCAGAGUCCACUCUGGCUUGGUGUCAGAGGGAAAAAACUUCACUUUUAUGAGCUGCUCAGCAAAUACCAUGAGGUUCAGGUGGGGAAAUGCAGUGCUGGGACUCCACAAGGUUUGGAUGGAGCAGGCUUUGCGAGGAGGAGAAGGAGCUGAAAAUGGAGCUGAAAAUGGAAACUUGAGGCUCAGAUGCUUGGAGGGGCUCAGGAGCCCCACUGAACCCAUCAGUUCCCAGGGAAGCAGGAGCUUCUGUUCCUCCUGGGGCCUGUGUCCUGCUCUCAUGCUCAGCACAGAGGGAGACAUUCACGCUCCACCUUGGAGCAAAAGUCAUUUUCAUUAACUUAUUGAGGAAAGGAGACAUAAAGACACAAUUUAAUUGCAAACCACAAGAUUACAGUGUGAGAUGAAGCGAGGAUAGAAUGAGGGAGGAAAAGGAAAAACAACUUGGUCUUAUUUUUGAUUUGCACCCCUUUAGCUGGCUGAGGGAGAGCUAG